AUUGAACGCUGGCGGCAUGCUUUACACAUGCAAGUCGAACGGCAGCAUGGGUUCUUGCACCUGAUGGCGAGUGGCGAACGGGUGAGUAAUGUAUCGGAACAUAUCCGCAAGUGGGGGAUAACGUAGCGAAAGUUACGCUAAUACCGCAUAUUCCCUGAGGGGGAAAGGAGGGGAUCCGCAAGGACCUUUCGCUUACGGAGUGGCCGAUAUCAGAUUAGCUAGUUGGUGGGGUAAAGGCCUACCAAGGCGACGAUCUGUAGCGGGUCUGAGAGGAUGAUCCGCCACACUGGGACUGCGACACGGCCCAGACUCCUACGGGAGGCAGCAGUGGGGAAUUUUGGACAAUGGGGGCAACCCUGAUCCAGCCAUGCCGCGUGAGUGAAGAAGGCCUUCGGGUUGUAAAGCUCUUUCAGCUGGAAAAAAAUCGCAUCACCUAAUACGUGGUGUGGAUGAUGGUACCAGCAGAAGAAGCACCGGCUAACUACGUGCCAGCAGCCGCCGUAAGAC
rnacentral:rRNA from 1 species